GUGGUAUUUGUGGUAUAAAGCAUAAUGACAUUGCCUUCUCUCUCAUCCUACUCUAAUAAGGCUUUAAUAUCUGGAGCUCAUAGGUGGGAGAUAAAAUAUACAUACUUACAAGACAUGUAUUGCAUAGUCAAACCAUGGAUCCAAAGUAACAAGUCAAUAAGUUUAAUCAAGAUGUGCAUGUGUGGCGAAUGAAUGGUAUAUGGUGAUGAUGGUGAUAACAAUGGUGAAAACAAUGGUGGUGAAAGUCUAAUUCUACUUUGCUCUUCUGAGGGGAUACAUACCUUCCUUGCUUUUGAAACUUUAUGAGGAGAAUGAGAUGCUCUUCUUUUUCUUUUCUCUCAGGUGGGUAUCUUGCACCCCUAAUUCUACUGUCGGACACUUGUCCAUUUUUACCUCUCGUCUCACUUUUUUCUUUUCUUUCGAGGUUCCGAGCACUUGCUCCUUUUUAUUUCCUCGUAUUAUUCUUCUCUCUCUCUCUUUUUUUAGAGCAUUCAUCUCUUGAGAUAAUAUAGCAAGUGGUAGUAACAAGAUAACUUGAGCAUUUAUUUCACAAGGGGAAAACAGAAAUAUUUUUGGUUAUUCUCUCCCGGAUUAGGAGUAGAAUAUUUUUAGGUGGUUCUGGAGAUGGAAUGGGUGGAUAUAUGUGGAUGGUACUUCCGGAGUAGAAGUAGCAUAUAUGAGUGAACGUGCAAGUGAAUCUUGAUUUAACCACAUGACAAGCUCCUAAGGAUCUACACAGCUUGACCACACUCAAUGCUCAUAAGUAGUAAAUAGUAAAUGUGUGGCUCAAAGUCUAGCAAGCAUGUAUAUAUGGCUGUGGUAGGAAUUUAAACUCUCAUCAUACAGGAACUCAUCAUGCAACAUUUUAAAGAUUUUCAAAGAUAAAAUUCUCCAGAAUUCUAGCAUCUCUAGGAACAGAUAAACAACAGCUCAACC
rnacentral:lncRNA from 1 species